rnacentral:rRNA from 1 species
AUCAACUUUCGAUGGUAGGAUAGAGGCCUACCAUGGUGGUAACGGGUAACGGGGUGUUAGGGCACGACACCGGAGAGGGAGCCUGAGAAACGGCUACCACAUCCAAGGAUGGCAGCAGGCGCGCAAAUUACCCAAUCCCGACACGGGGAGGUAGUGACAAUAAAUAACAAUACGGGGUCCUUUCGGGUUUCGUAAUUGGAAUGAGUACAAUUUAAAUCUCUUAACGAGGAACAAUUGGAGGGCAAGUCUGGUGCCAGCAGCCGCGGUAAUUCCAGCUCCAAUAGCGUAUAUUAAAGUUGUUGCAGUUAAAAAGCUCGUAGUUGAAUUUCGGGAUCAGUACGUCGGUCGUGCCUCUGGUAUGUACUGGUGUUACUGGUUCCUCCCUUCUGAAGAACUGUCAUGUCAUUUAUUUGGUGUGGCGGGGAAUCAGGACUGUUACUUUGAAAAAAUUAGAGUGUUUAAAGCAGGCUCGCGCUUGAAUACAUUAGCAUGGAAUAAUGAAAUAGGACGUUUGAUCCUAUUUUGUUGGUUUCUAGGAUUGACGUAAUGAUUAAUAGGGAUAGUUGGGGGCAUUAGUAUUCAAUUGUCAGAGGUGAAAUUCUUGGAUUUAUUGAAGACUAACUACUGCGAAAGCAUUUGCCAAGGAUGUUUUCAUUAAUCAAGAACGAAAGUUAGGGGAUCGAAGACGAUCAGAUACCGUCGUAGUCUUAACCAUAAACUAUGCCGACUAGGGAUCGGAUGAUGUUAAUUUUUUAAUGACUCAUUCGGCGCCUUACGGGAAACCAAAGUGUUUGGGUUC